rnacentral:rRNA from 1 species
UUCCGGUUGAUCCUGCCAGAGGCGACCGCUAUUGGAGUUCGAUUAAGCCAUGCGAGUAGAAAGAAAUUAGAUUCUUUGCAUACUGCUCAGUAACACGUGGAUAACCUGCCCUACACUGGGGGAUAAUCUCGGGAAACUGAGGAUAAUACCCCAUAGACCACUACGCCUGGAACGGUGAGUGGUUGAAAGCUCAGGCGGUGUAGGAUGGGUCUGCGGCGUAUCAGGUCGUAGGGGGUGUAAUGGACCUCCUAGCCAUCAACGCGUACGGGUUGUGGGAGCAAUAGCCCGGAGACGGAUUCUGAGACACGAAUCCGGACCCUACGGGGUGCAGCAGGCGCGAAAACUUCACACUGCAGGAAACUGUGAUGAGGGAACUCCAAGUGACUGCACAAUGUGUAGCCUUUUCUUGAAUUUUAAUAGUUCUUGGAAUAAGGGCUGGGAAAGACCGGUGCCAGCCGCCGCGGUAAUACCGGCAGCUCGAGUGGUCGUCGCUUUUAUUGGGCCUAAAACGUCCGUAGCCUGUUUGGUAAAUCUGUGGGGUAAAUCAACGAGCUCAACUCGUUGAAUUCUGCAGAGACUGCCAGACUAGGGACCGGGAGAGGUAUGAGGUACUCUGGGGGGUAGGGGUAAAAUCCUGUCAUCCUCAGAGGACCACCUGUUGCGAAGGCGUCAUACUGGAACGGAUCCGACGGUCAGGGACGAAGCCUAGGGGCACGAACCGGAUUAGAUACCCGGGUAGUCCUAGGUGUAAACGCUGUGGAUUUGGUGUGUGGGGUCCGCAAUGGGCCCCAUGUGCCGGAGUGAAGAUGUUAAAUCCACUGCCUGGGGAGUACGGUCGCAAGGCUGAAACUUAAAGGAAUUGGCGGGGGAGCACUGCAACGGGAGGAGCGUGCGGUUUAAUUGGACUCAACGCCGGAA